rnacentral:rRNA from 1 species
AGUGAACGCUGGCGGUAGGCCUAACACAUGCAAGUCGAACGGCAGCACAGUAAGAGCUUGCUCUUACGGGUGGCGGGUGGCGGACGGGUGAGGAAUACAUCGGAAUCUACUUUUUCGUGGGGGAUAACGUAGGGAAACUUACGCUAAUACCGCAUACGACCUUCGGGUGAAAGCAGGGGAUCUUCGGACCUUGCGCGAUUGAAUGAGCCGAUGUCGGAUUAGCUAGUUGGCGGGGUAAAGGCCCACCAAGGCGACGAUCCGUAGCUGGUCGGAGAGGAUGAUCAGCCACACUGGAACUGAGACACGGUCCAGACUCCUACGGGAGGCAGCAGUGGGGAAUAUUGGACAAUGGGCGCAAGCCUGAUCCAGCCAUACCGCGUGGGUGAAGAAGGCCUUCGGGUUGUAAAGCCCUUUUGUUGGGAAAGAAAAGCAUCAGGUUAAUACCCCGCUGUUCUGACGGUACCCAAAGAAUAAGCACCGGCUAACUUCGUG